UUGAUAUAGCUUUAGAGUUUUGUGAGAUAUGUACAUUAAUGCUAUUAGGGUGUGGGGCUACGCCCACUUUUUAAAAAUUUGAUGUCCUCAGUUGCCUCUUACCACUGCAAUUAUCUGUAUCAAAUUAAUUAGGACCUUAGUUAUAGUACUUUAUAGGUUUUUGCUUAAUGGCGUUUAGUGUGCGGGGCAAUUUUAAUCAAUAUAUAUAAAUUUUUAUUAAAGUUUUCACUUACACGGACGGUUGGACAAACAUACGGUCAUUCGGAAUUCAACUUAUCUUAUCAUCCUGAUCAUUUAUAUACAUAUAUAUAACUCUUUAUCUACAUCGAUGAGUUUUAGCUGGGAGUAUAAAAAUUAAUGUUAUUUUCUUCGUUACAAAGUACUAAUAUUAACGCUGGUGCUCUAAUGGAUGUACACUUGUGUCCAGCGCUUUUUGGGUCCGAUCGGAUCAAAAUGGAUAGUUUCAUUUGCCUUUCGCAGUUUGGUUGGUAAGCAGUGAUGGAUUACCGCCUAGGCCUGUGAGGCCCGGGCCUAGGGCGGCGCAAUUUGGGGGGCUGCAAAUUUUUCAGAAUAUCAAAAUUUUAAACCUGAUAUAAUGUAACGACAAUACAUUUUAAGUAUUUAUUCUGAUUUAUUUUAUAUAAAUUUACGGAUAAAUUUCUAUGAAA